ACCAACGCCGACACCGGGCGGAGGUGGGCUGGGGGUCCUUGGAUAAAUGCGGAGCAAACACCUCGGGUUGCGGGGUCUGCGGGGGAAACGGGCAGAGAAAUCUUCCUUCCGGGAAGCAACCUUGUCCUGACUUGAGAAACCCCUCCUGUGGGCGGGCACUCCGCUCCGCCUUUCUCCCCCCACGCCCUCUCCCGGUCUAGUCUCCUCCGGCUUCCCUCCGCCCGCCUCUCCUCCUCGGGCAUAAAAGCUGGAGUCUCUCGGGAGCUGGGACCCAGACCGGCCGACAGGAGAAAGGUGGCGGGGUCUGCCCACUCCAGCGAGGGGCGAGGAGGCUGGACCCUCAACAGUGCCGGCUACCUCCUGGGUCCCGAUGGCCUCCCCUACUCCCAGUCUCUGCUGGCCUCCAGGAGUCUGGGAGAGACUGCUGCCAAAGCAGAGACCGGAGAUCCAGGCGUGCUUGGCCAGAAAGUCCUCAAGGAGGAAGAUGCCUGGGUUCCUAGAUGUCCCCAGACUUCUGCUGCAAACCUUUGCCCCUCUGGCUCUUUCUGAAACCCUGUGUUGUCACCCUCUACUGAGACCGAGAUCGUGAAAUUAAAAUCUCAGGAAGAAAAUCUGAAGCACUGGAAGAAUUGUUUGGGUUUUUUUUCCAAUCUGCUGCUGCUAAGUCGCUUCAGUCGUGUCCAACUCUGUGCAACCCCAUAGACAGCAGCCCACCAGGCUC